rnacentral:lncRNA from 1 species
UUGGUAUUUCAUUCAUCAAUAAAGGGUAUUUGUAUUGACGAAUUUAUAGAUCCAAUCAUAGCUCAAGUGCGGUGUUGUUUGCAUUUUUUCGAAGUGUGAUUAUUUUUUGUCGUUUGUUUUGAGAUAAUUCGUAGGGUUUGAAAGUUAAAUUCAAUUACUUCUUCUGCUUGUUUUGGUAUAACUUGAUGCUGUUAAAAUUAGUUUUUUAAGUUAUAUUAUUUGUUUCGAUAUAAAUAAGUGAAUUUCAUUACCUUCUAAAUAUAGUGGUGAACUUUUUCCGAUAAAAUCCAACAUAUUAAAAAAAUAAAUCCCUCAUUAGUGUUUCGAAAUAAUCUUAAUCCAUUGUAAAAAAAAAAGUAACUCUAAGUCAUUCUAAAAAAAGCAGAGUUUAAAUUUUAAUAUUUAAUAAAUUUUUUUAAAGAAGUUGAGUAUGAUGGGACUUGAGUUGGAUACACUAGAGAGAGAGUCUAAGUAACUUCUUCCCUAAAUGAAAUAAACGAAGCGAGUAGCAUGCUACCUAUCUCUCAAAAAAAAAAAAAUUUCUUCCCUUUAUGGAUUAAUUUAUGUUUUAAUAUUUAAUAACGUUUUUAGAGAAAGUUGAGUAUAGUGGAGCUUGAGUUUGAUACACUAGAGGGACAGGUUUAGAAAUUAGGGAGAGUCCAAACCUUAGUUAGUUAAUUCGCGAAUUAUUCGCGAAUUAUUCGCGAAUUUUUGAAAAAAUGAAUUAAUCGGCUGUAUACGUAUUUGUUUCAAAAAUUCGGGAAAAAACGUAUUUUUUUGGGUAAAAAAACGUAUUCGUGAAUAAUUCGCGCGCCGAAUAAUUCGCCAAAAAGACGCCGCGUCGCAGCUCGCGAGCGCGAGCGAUCGCGCGCUGAUCGCGAGCCGCGAGGCCCUAUAUUGUCCUUUUGUGGAUAUUAUCCAGUUUUUAAUAAUUAGAUGAAAAAUUAAAUAAAAAAUUAUAUGGCUGGAUUGAUAGUGGCCCGCCCUCUAGGGUUUAGUGGGUAGAUGGUAAAAUAGUAUGAUCAAAAGGAUGGGAUUGAUGAAGGGGUAGAUCUAAUAGUGAAAAAUUAGAUAGCACUAAGUGUUUUAUACUAUUAAUAGUAUCCUAGACGGACUCGUACUAUAUUACAAAUAUAAUUAAGAACAUACAAAUUGUACCCGCCGUAAAGUAUGGAUAUAAGUAUUGGAAGUGAAAA